rnacentral:ncRNA from 1 species
UUGACUGGGGUGUUACAUCUGUCAAAUGGUAAUGCAGGUGUCCCAAAGUAAGCUCAGUGUGGAUGGAGACCACAUGUUGAGCAAAAAGGCAAAAGCUCACUUGAUCUCUGUUUUCCCAUCAAGUGUGUGUGAGAGAUCAUCACUACUUAACAUCUGUUUUCAUGCUGGCAUGCGUAGGACAAUUUGACAGGAAGUGGCAAGUUAGAAGACUGCCCUAAGGCCUGUUAUCUACUUUAGCAUGGUUCCCACAG